AUUGAACGCUGGCGGCAGGCCUAACACAUGCAAGUCGAGCGAGCGGCGGACGGGUGAGUAAUGUCUGGGGAUCUGCCCGAUAGAGGGGGAUAACUACUGGAAACGGUGGCUAAUACCGCAUACUAUAGGAUGAACCCAUUUGGGAUUAGCUAGUUGGGGGGGUAAAGGCUCACCUAGGCGACGAUCUCUAGCUGGUCUGAGAGGAUGAUCAGCCACACUGGGACUGGGACCCGGCCCAGACUCCUACGGGAGGCAUCAGUGGGGAAUAUUGCACAAUGGGCUCAAGCCUGAGGCAGCCAUGCCGCGGGUAUGAAGAAGGCCUUAGGGUUUUAAAGUACGUUCAGCGGGGAGGCGUUACCCGCAGAAGAAGCACCGGCUAACUCCGUGCCAGCAGCCGCGGUAAUAC
rnacentral:rRNA from 1 species